GACUUUGCCGGGUGCUACCAUGCAGUCGAACGAUGAAGACCGUGCUUGCACGGUUGGAUUAGUGGCGAACGGGUGAGUAUCACGUGAGUAACCUUCCCUUAACUCUGGGAUAAGCCCGGGAAACUGGGUCUAAUACCGGAUACGACCAGUCCUCGCAUGGGGUGCUGGUGGAAAGAUUUAUCGGUUUUGGAUGGACUCGCGGCCUAUCAGCUUGUUGGUGAGGUAAAGGCUCACCAAGGCGAUGACGGGUAGCCGGCCUGAGAGGGUGACCGGCCACACUGGGACUGAGACACGGCCCAGACUCCUACGGGAGGCAGCAGUGGGGAAUAUUGCACAAUGGGCGAAAGCCUGAUGCAGCGACGCCGCGUGCGGGAUGACGGCCUUCGGGUUGUAAACCGCUUUCAGCAGGGAAGAAGCGAAAGUGACGGUACCUGCAGAAGAAGCGCCGGGCUAACUACGUGCCAGCAGCCGCGGUAAUACGUAGGGCGCGAGCGUUAUCCGGGAAUUAUUGGGCGUAAAGAGCUCGUAGGCGGUUUGUCACGUCUGCUGUGAAAGCCCGGGGCUCAACCCCGGGUGUGCAGUGGGUACGGGCAGACUAGAGUGCAGUAGGGGAGACUGGAAUUCCUGGUGUAGCGGUGAAAUGCGCAGAUAUCAGGAGGAACACCGAUGGCGAAGGCAGGUCUCUGGGCUGUUACUGACGCUGAGGAGCGAAAGCAUGGGGAGCGAACAGGAUUAGAUACCCUGGUAGUCCAUGCCGUAAACGUUGGGCACUAGGUGUGGGGAACAUUCCACGUUUUCCGCGCCGUAGCUAACGCAUUAAGUGCCCCGCCUGGGGAGUACGGCCGCAAGGCUAAAACUCAAAGGAAUUGACGGGGGCCCGCACAAGCGGCGGAGCAUGCGGAUUAAUUCGAUGCAACGCGAAGAACCUUACCAAGGCUUGACAUGGACCGGACCGCUGCAGAGAUGCAGUUUCCCUUCGGGGUCGGUUCACAGGUGGUGCAUGGUUGUCGUCAGCUCGUGUCGUGAGAUGUUGGGUUAAGUCCCGCAACGAGCGCAACCCCUAUCCUAUGUUGCCAGCACGUCAUGGUGGGGACUCAUGGGAGACUGCCGGGGUCAACUCGGAGGAAGGUGGGGACGACGUCAAAUCAUCAUGCCCCUUAUGUCUUGGGCUUCACGCAUGCUACAAUGGCCGGUACAAUGGGUUGCGAUACUGUGAGGUGGAGCUAAUCCCUAAAAGCCGGUCUCAGUUCGGAUCGAAGUCUGCAACUCGACUUCGUGAAGUUGGAGUCGCUAGUAAUCGCAGAUCAGCAACGCUGCGGUGAAUACGUUCCCGGGCCUUGUACACACCGCCCGUCAAGUCACGAAAGUGGGUAACACCCGAAGCCGGUGGCCUAACCCUUGCGGGGGAGCAGUCGGAGGUGACUUUGGG
rnacentral:rRNA from 1 species